rnacentral:tRNA from 1 species
GUUAAUGUAGUUUAAAUAAAAACAUAGCACUGAAAAUGCUAAAAUGAAAUUUAAUAUUUUCCAUUAACA